GAGCGAAACCUUCACACUGUGCGAAAGCACGAUGAGGGGAUCCCAAGUGUUAGUCCGUUAGGGCUAACUGUUUCUUUGUCUAAAUCACAGAGAGAGUAAGGGCUGGGUAAGACGGGUGC
rnacentral:rRNA from 1 species